AGCAGCCGCGGUAAUUCCAGCUCCAAUAGCGUAUAUUAAAGUUGUUGCAGUUAAAAAGCUCGUAGUUGAAUUUCGGGAUUGACACAUCGGUCGUGCCUUAAGGGGUAUGAACUGGUGUAGUCAAUUUCUCACCUUCUGGAGAACCGCGAUGCCCUUAAUUGGGUGUCACGGGGAACCAGGACCUUUACUUUGAAAAAAUUAGAGUGUUUAAAGCAGGCAUUUUGCUUGAAUACAUUAGCAUGGAAUAAUAAAAUAGGACGGCAUGAUUCUAUUUUGUUGGUUUCUAGGAUCACCGUAAUGAUUAAUAGGGAUAGUUGGGGGCAUUAGUAUUCAAUUGUCAAAGGUGAAAUUCUUGGAUUUAUUGAAGACUAACUACUGCGAAAGCAUUUGCCAAGGAUGUUUUCAUUAAUCAAGAACGAAAGUUAGGGGAUCGAAGACGAUCAGAUACCGUCGUAGUCUUAACCAUAAACUAUGCCGACUAGGAAUCAGACGAUGUUAAUUUUUUAAUGACUCGUUUGGC
rnacentral:sRNA from 1 species